UUUAACACCCUAAAAUGGCAACUUCCCUGUUGACCAAUCAUUUAAGGCUAAUGAUCGGUAUUAUAUUCAUGAUACAUCUGUGUCUAUCAUUCUUUUUAUUCUCUCACCCUAGAGGAACAGAGUGAGUUUUUUACCAUCAUUUGACAGAUGAGAAAAAUGAGGCAUAAGGAAGGGAACUGACUUGCCAAAAAUCAUUCAAUUAGUUAAUGACACAGAGACUAUUAAAACUCAAUUCUUUUGACCCCAGGUCCUGCACUCUUUCUGCUCACACCUAAUGGCCUUUGUGUGAGCUGUCUUGCAACCACGCAGUCCCAGGGUGUGCUGACAGAAGAGCUCAGACAGUAGCUCAGACUGCCUCCUCGUGCCAACCCUACAAGGACACUGAAACUCACAAAGCAAUUCCCUUUCCCGUUCUGAUGCCACCUCAGCUCACUCUUCACAGGAAAGGGCAGACUGUGCUAACCGGCACUGCUGCCCUGCGAAGUGAAUGGAAACAUCAUGCAGAGAUAAAGUAGAAAGCAGAAACCUCAUUCCCUUGCCGCCUUGAAGCAGAGAAUACAGCAUCUUUGGAGGUCCUCCUUCCAAGAGUAGGUUCGCCUUCAGAAUAUAAAUAGCAGCCUCCUUCCCAUGACGCUUCUUACUCUCCAGGCAGGCACACCACAUGUGCAGCGGAUACGACACACGACUUGGGCUUCAAUCCUGCGAUCAUAUAUAUUUUUAAUUCAAGUUCCAUGCAAUUUGGUGACUAUUACCUUUAACGGGUAAUUACCUUAUUCAGAGUGCUCUUAACAGCCCUGUCGACAGGAAUGUCAGCUCACUACAAGAGAUGGGCUUGCUGAAAGCAACACAAAAAGAAGCUGAGGCAGGUUUUUCUUUUAACUUGUUUGUUAAAAUUUUAUGAGUAAGUCAUUUUCUCCCUUGUGGGCUUUCCCUUCUAGUUUAUGUGGGAUCACAGCUGCCUGAAUGUAAAUGUGGCUGCCCAGUCUCCCUGUCAUCCACAGCAGCUGUCUCAGAUCCAGAGAGGCUCCCUUGGGUGGGGUGGAGGGGGGUUCCUCACCCACCCAGGAACUGACGGGGCCAUGAGGGGCUGCUGGCUUCGCUGCACCCAUCAUCUUGGUGAGCUAACCACAGACAGGCAGGGUGCUGCUGCAGGAGAGUCAGGGUAGGCCGUGCCCUGAGACGGAGGGAGGACUUUCUGUGCGCGGUUCCCAUCAGCCCUGACUGUCCAUAUUCAUGACAGAGAAAUAACAGCCCCAUCAACAUUGCCCAGAAGGCCGUCACGAUUAGCACCAGGCUGUCAUGAUUCUCCACCACAUAUCAAAAGCGCUCUCCGGUUAGAUAAGUUUGAGAAAUACCACAUAGACUUCACGGCUCUCCUGGAGAAUCACGGCACAUAGCAACACCCAGAAGACUCUGAAAACUGUCUCUUGGUGUUAGGGGUUGAAUUGUGUUCCCCCCUCCCCCAGUAUUCACAUGUUAAAGCCCUAACCCCCAGUACCUCAGAAUGUGAACUUAUCUGGAAAGAGACUUAUUGCAGAUAUAGUUAGUUACUAUGAGGUCACAUUGGAGUCCGGUGGGCCUCUAAUCUCAUCCUUACGAAAAGGGGAAAUCUGGACACAGACACCCACACUGAGAGAACAACAUGGGACCAUGAUGGCGGAGAGCAGUUUGAUGCUUCCACAAGCCAAGGAAUACCAAAGACGGCCAGCAAACCACCAGCAGCUAGGGAAAUUUGGACACAUGACAGACAUACAGGGAGAAGGCCAUAUAAAGGCAACGGCAGAGAUUGGGGUAAUGCUUCUACAAGCCGAGGAACACCAGAGAUGGCCAGCACGCCUCCAGAGGAAAGAAUCUUGGGACACAUCCUUCCUCAUGACCCUCUGAAGGAAACAGCCCUGCCAAACACCUUGAUCCCAGACUUUUAACCUCCAGAACUCUGAGACCUUAAGCCACUCAGUCAGUGCUACUUUGUUAUGGCAGCCCUAGAAAAUAGAUACAGAUCUCAAUUCCUAAAUUUUUAUUUCCACCUCAAAACCUUCUACAAAACUGCCUAAUUGGCAAGGGAGACACAGGCUUCUCAAACUUAUGUGAAGGACUUAUUUAGCCCAAUGCUUAUUCCAGAACAAGUUCUCAGUGAAAGGUAAUGGUGUUCCUCUCACUACUGCUGCUGCUGAAGAUAAGCAUGAUGAUGUUGGUGAGGACACGGAGGAAGAAGGCGGAGAAGCAGGAGAAAAAGCAGGGGAAAAAAAGAGCAUGAAUCCACUGAGCCUGGCACCUCUUUGUGAAACAAAAGGUUGUAAACAAUCUCA